GUAUAAUUAACUAGAAUCUAUUCAUACAAUACUCAAAACAUUAAUAAUUCUAUUUUUAUGUCUUCUUUCUAGAAGUUGAACUUCACACUGCAAGUUUCAGGAGUGUGUACCUGAUUUGACAAAUAAAAACCACGAUAAAAGGAGAGAUCAAGAGACAACAGUAGCACCAUAAGAUCAGCUCAAUCUAAGGAGUAAGGAAGAAACAGAAACAAUCUUCGCUAAAUAAUACCAAAGCAACUUAGGAACUACCAUUGAGAAACACUCAAUUUCAUUCAAUCUUAUUCCCAAAGAGAAUGAGAGAUUUUUUUAGAAA
rnacentral:lncRNA from 1 species